AAAGAUUAAGGCCUUUACUAUCUAUUUUCAGUGGUACCAAAAAGAUGGUAAAUUGGUAGUGUUCAGUUCCGGGCAAACAUUUUUUUCAAGAGGUUUUUGUCAGAUUGAUGAAUGUGAAAUUAAGAGGACCCAUUUUGAGGAUGCAUCAAGAGAGAUAAAGUCUAAAAUGUGAUACUGUCAAUGUGACUAACCUUGAAGUAAACAGAUGACACAAUGUUUUUUCAAUGUCAUGGGCAUAUAAUGAAGAGAAAACAGAGAUGCUUGUUUGACAGAUACAGUAAUACUAAUAGUAGGAGUUAUGAGGGAAGAUUGCAGUGAUAACUAUAUUGAGGCACCACUUCAUCACCAAGAACAUGAGAUGACUUAUCAAUGUUUUCAAUGUGUUUGAACACCCAUUUUAAAUAAUACAGCUCAGAGUGAAUUUUUCAAAAUAAUUAAUUCUGUUUUCAAAGUUUUUAUGCCCCCACAAUGUGGGAGCAUAUAGCGUUGCACUUGUCCGUCCGUCAGUCCGUCAGUCCGUCCGUACGUCCCGAAAUCUUGUGAACGCAACUCCUCUUAAACCGGAUGGCAGAUUUUGCUUAAACUUACAGGGAUGAACAACCUUAAUGUGUAGAUGGUAGUAAAUGAAGGAAUUUUUGCUGCGACUAAAUUUAACAGAAUUAUGGCCCUUUGUUGAUUUUUUCACUAUAUACUAUGUAGAAAUUUUGUGAACGCAACUCCUCUUAAACCGGAUGUCAGAUUUCGCUUAAACUUACAGGGAUGAACAACCUUAAUGUGUAGAUGGUAGUAAAGGAAGGAAUUUUUCCUGCAACCAAAUUUAACAGAAUUAUGGCCCUUUGUUGAUUUUUUCAUUAUAUACUAUGUAGAAAUUUUGUGAACGCAACUCCUCUUAAACCGGAUGUCAGAUUUCGCUUAAACUUACAGGGAUGAACAACCUUAAUGUGUAGAUGGUAGUAAAGGAAGGAAUUUUUCCUGCAACCAAAUUUAACAGAAUUAUGGCCCUUUGUUGAUUUUUUCAUUAUAUACUAUGUAGAAAUUUUGUGAACGCAACUCCUCUUAAACCAGAUGGCAGAUUUUGCUUAAACUUCCAGGGAUGAACAACCUUAAUGUGUAGAUGGUAGUAAAGGAAGGAAUUUUUGCUGCGACCAAAUAUAACAGAAUUAUGGCCCUUUGUUGAUUUUUAGUUUUCAACUUGUGGCACAUGUAGUCCAAAAAAUAUUUGACCUAGAGUCAUAAGAUUGACAGAACAGUGGCGUGUGGGGGCAUCCGUGUCCUAUGGACACAUUUCUAGUUUAUUUAGAUGUUAGUUGAUCUUGUCAAGUACUUUAUUUUUUUUAGGGAUGGCAACAAAUACUAAAAUCAAUACUCGAGUACUCGGUCAUUUUUCAGAUCGCGUAUUCGGUUACUCUGAUGAUUUCCAAUGAUCUUUAAAUUUUUAUCACACAAUAUCAACACCGUCUGCAUGCUAUCUUCAUUUUCUAUUUUAAUUAAUAGAAUUUGUAGCUAUAAAUAGGAUUGCAAGAAAUACAUAUAAUAAAUAUAAACAUAAGAAAUGUCAAUGACAGCAUUUAUUCUAUACCUAUAAAUUUUCUUCCUAAAACACAGGAUAAUCUUGAAGCGCAAAUAGGCUUCAACGGUUAGAAAAUUCUGUAUUAUGUUAGAGACAAAUACAGUACCAUAUAUGAAAGGACUGGACUAUUUUU